CUAAAUACAGAGGCAGUGUGAGGCAUGCGACUAUUGAUUCCGCAACAGCAGUGAGAAUUCCUGUUCAGUCGAUACUCUCCAGAAGCAUAGCACAGCCCCGUUUGGGUGCCCAUGCGCACCUUGACUCCGAUCGGGACAGCUGUGUCUUCCAUGCGUAGUUAGUGGCAAGAUAAGCCCAGUAAUAUUGCUAGAUACUCCUGCCGUGUGUUUGCUCCGUGAGGAUCUUGACCAUCUGGUGUGUUUCGCCUUACAGCCACUGGCACAGAUUUCUCACACCACUUUGUCCC